CCUACGGGCGGCAGCAGUGAGGAAUAUUGGUCAAUGGGCGAGAGCCUGAACCAGCCAAGUCGCGUGAAGGAUGACGGCCCUACGGGUUGUAAACUUCUUUUGUCAGGGAGCAAUUGAGUCCACGUGUGGGCUUAGCGAGAGUACCUGAAGAAAAAGCAUCGGCUAACUCCGUGCCAGCAGACGCGGUAAUACGGAGGAUGCGAGCGGUAUCCGGAUUUAUGGGGUUAAAAGGGUGCGUAGGCGGAAUAGCCAGUCAGCGGUAAAAAUUCGGGGCUCAACCCCGACGUGCCGUUGAAACUGAUGUUCUUGAGUGGGCGAGAAGUGGGCAGAAUGCGUGGUGUAGCGGUGAAAUGCAUAGAUAUCACGCAGAACUCCGAUGGCGAAGGCAGCAUACCGGCGCCCGACUGACGCUGAAGCACGAAAGCGUGGGUAUCGAACAGGAUUAGAUACCCUAGUAGUC
rnacentral:rRNA from 1 species